rnacentral:rRNA from 1 species
AACGAACGCUGGCGGCAUGCCUAACACAUGCAAGUCGAACGGGAUCCAGGCUUCGGCCUGGUGAGAGUGGCGGACGGGUGAGUAACACGUGGGAACCUGCCUUUUGGUUCGGGAUAACCGCGGGAAACUGCGGCUAAUACCGGAUGCUCCCGAGAGGGGAAAGAUUUAUCGCCAGAAGAGGGGCCCGCGUCCGAUUAGGUAGUUGGUGAGGUAAUGGCUCACCAAGCCGACGAUCGGUAGCUGGUCUGAGAGGAUGAUCAGCCACACUGGGACUGAGAUACGGCCCAGACUCCUACGGGAGGCAGCAGUGGGGAAUAUUGGACAAUGGGGGCAACCCUGAUCCAGCAAUGCCGCGUGAGUGAUGAAGGCCUUAGGGUUGUAAAGCUCUUUUGCCAGGGAAGAUGAUGACUGUACCUGGAGGAUAAGCCCCGGCUAACUUCGUGCCAGCAGCCGCGGUAA